rnacentral:rRNA from 1 species
CCUUCGGGAACUGUGAGACAGGUGCUGCAUGGCUGUCGUCAGCUCGUGUUGUGAAAUGUUGGGUUAAGUCCCGCAACGAGCGCAACCCUUAUCCUUUGUUGCCAGCGAUUAGGUCGGGAACUCAAAGACGUUACCGUGCUGUGAUAGCGGUCUUAGUCAAGCGUGAUGACAAGGUAACGCGAUGAAUAC